AUGAAGGUGAACAUGGAGGCGCAACGCGUGUGGGAUGCCAUCGAGGGAGGCGGGACAUUCAGCCAGGAUAGGGCGGCGCUUGCGGCAAUUCUGCGAGCCGUGCCGGAGGAGAUGCACUCCACGCUUGCCGUGAAGGCGACGACAAAGGAGGCAUGGGAUGCCAUCAAGAUCAUUCGGGUCGGCGAUGCCCGCGUCCGUGAGGCCAAGGCGCAGACUCUCCUCAAGGAGUUUGAUGCCGUCCGCAUGAGGAGCGGUGAGACCCUCGAUGAGCUCGCCAUGCGCAUGAACGGGAUCGCCAACAAGCCGCGCACGCUCGGCGAGAACCUUGACGAGGUGAAGGUCGUGAAGAAGCUUCUCCGCAUCGUGCCGUCCAAGUAUACCCAGGUAGCUAUUGCCAUUGAGCAACUUCUUAAUCUUAAAACCAUGUCCAUGGAAGAGCUUGUGGGAAGGCUCAAAACGGCAGAGGACCGGAGCGACUUGGACGAGGGCGCCAACUACGACCAGGGUGGUGGGAGUCGACUGCUCCUCACGGAGGAGGAGUGGCUUGCUCGCCACCGCAGCGGCGCCGGCAAGAAGAAGAGAAACUUCGACAUUCGCAAGGUCCGCUGCUACACUUGCCAAGAGUAUGGGCAUUACUCGAGGGACUGCACCGAGCCGAAGAAGGAGCGGGCGCUUCUCGCCGACGCGACCGCCGACGACAACCCAUGGCUAUACUGA
rnacentral:rRNA from 1 species